GCAACCAUCACAGAUUAGCAAUUCAGUUUCUGCUAUUUUCGGCUUCAAGUUGAGGGGCAAAGUUUUUGCAUUCUUGUUUCCGAGUGCCAGUUGGUGUCCAUGGGCCCAAUGAUUGAUAUAAGGUGAAGGUUCCCCAGUGGAAGAAUUUGCUGCCUUGAUGAUACAUUCUUGCAUUGUUUCAUGUAGUGAUGCUUCAUCAUGCACUGGGAACUGCAUCAAAUUAGACUCUCCGCAAUCUGCUUCAUCAUCAAUAUCACUUUCACUAUUCCAAAAGAAAGAUUCAUAUCCAAUCAGAAUAAUUUCAAGUAAAACAACAAUGUCAGAAAACUAAAUAUUUAUUAAAUAAGUAUUCAAUAUCAAAUAUAUAAGAAAUAAUAAUAGGAGAUAGUACAUCAACCUCAACAACUCAGUUAAUGAAGCACAUUUCACGUGAGCAAAAAAUCUGCAAUUCGCACAAAUAUAAACCCAGUAGAUGGGAUUUAUAUGUUUCUCGCAGAUGCUGCAGUAACAGGGAUAUUCACGAUAUUGUUGGGGAAGAGAGUAGGUCAAGAUGACAGCAUGUUCAUUGUGAAAUUUACUUUGGUAGGUGAUUGGUGCAUUGGCACAACUCUCGUGCAUGUAUCCAGAAACGACAUGUUGUACAAAUAUAGGACAAGUCUGUAGCUGUAGUGUUACAAGCAUGACACAGGAACAAAGCUGGGCUUUGGACUAAGGUUAAUGGGUGAUCAUGACCCUGAUGACACAGGUUACGUUUCUCUAGAGAUUUAAGUUCUGACAUUACACAUUUCAAACAAACAAGAAAUUCGGAACUGGCAGAAGACUCAGAACUAUACAUAAAGUACUGAGAGGCGCUGCCACAAGCAUGACAAGCAUAAAAGUCUUGCUUUCUAUAUGGAAGCGCAACGAGGCUUAGAGGCUGUUUUGGGUUCAUAGGGUGUGUAAAAGUUGAGGGCAACUCUGAACAAGUUUUAUGCAUAUAGAAACCAACACAAACACUCGAUGGACUGCUAUCAAUAACGGAAGUGUUGCACCUAUAAAAUGCAUCUAUGAGUUUGUUGAUUGGCUGUUUGCACCCAACACAUUCUACAUCCUUACCGACAACAGGCUUGACUUCACUUAGUAUCAGCUGAUGCUCAUGAAAAAAAAGUUUCGAUUCUGCCAUCUAUGUUUACAAGAGAGAGAUAGAGAGAGACAGAGGGAGAUGUAUAUCUACUAAAGGCAAAUAUGAAUGAUUCAACACGACCACUGCACUCUGUUCAUAUAUAGAUUAAGAUACAUAAAACAAUCAAGUAGUUAACCCAAUCUUCAAGUUUCAAAAAAGAACGAAUAAUUCAAUGAUAAGUAAGAAUAUGUAUAAGAAUCAAGCAACUGUGCGAACAUUCGUGUUCCAGUGCAUCACCAAACAAAGAAAGAAUCAUAAGCAGUCAUUUAUAAUCAACCUAAAGAAUAAAUGACAAAGAAUUGCAGGUUAGGAGAUUCUGUGGGAGGUAAAGAAGCCAAACAUUCUUUGCUUUUGAGAAUCAAGGAAGUGAUUCCAUUUUGUUUAAGCAAGCUGAGAAGACCCUCUGCUAUGAUUGCUUCAUCAAUCAAAACACCCUCUACUUCAUACAUUUAUAUUCUUUGUGAUACCAUUUCAUCCCAGAAACAUAUAAAGACCAGUAUGAGUGUGAAGUUUCGGACUAUUAAAAAUUUAUAAUUCUCUGUCUCGGACUAUGAAAAAAAUUAUAAUUCUUUGUCUCGAACUAUGAAUUUGGUUCAAAUUUAUAUGUUCUGAAACAACUUUGACAUCAUCAGUAUUCUUAUUCUAUUGAUUUUUAUUUUGGACUUCUAAUGGUGCUACAUGUAUGAUUUUUAAUAUUAGCGGGUCUUUUAAUUCUAUUGAGAUCGGAUCAAUUUUCAAUAUAAUUUCUAUAAAAAUAAAUUUGUAGAUAUAACAAACAUCCCUUAUAUUACAAAACCACCCAUAUUUCUGUUAUAAAUUUUCUUUUAACUAUGUGAGUUUUCCUCAGACCCAUUAAUUACUGAGGAGUUUAGUUGGUUUGAUUAAAACUAAUAAAAACUGAUAUUGAUUGUUCCAUGACAAUUUGUGAUCGUAUUUGUUCAUGACAUAAAUCAAGAACUAAAGUAUGAUAGGUGCAAGAAACUAUAGUGUAGCUUAUUAGUGUGGCCAGAGUCAUGUAAUGAAACAGUUGGAAACGAUUAAAAGAGUGAAAAUCACGAAGGUUAUAAAUUAUUUAGAGAUUUUUUAAAAUGCUAAGACUUGUCAAAAGUGACGAAAUAAUGAAUUUAGAAACAAACUUUUAAAAAUGGUAUAAAUCACAAAUAUUCGAAGUAAUUAUAUGAAACGAAAGACUAUAGAAAAGGUAUUAAUUCAUACCUCAAACUCAGAUUGUCCAAGACUCCAAGCCAAAGAACCCUAGAUCAUAUUAUCCAAGUCAAAGAAUCCCAAAUCACAAUUAUUCAUCCCCACUAAAAGCAAUCCCAACUGAAGCAAACCCUACAGAAAUUCUCACACCGAAACAUAACAACCCUAUAGAAUUGAGCAAAAAAAAUCUCAAAAACAUAAGGGUCAGGUCUCAAACAAACACAAAUCAAAAUCGAAUAGAGUUGCGUGGACUUCCUUAUGUAGCAUCUCCGAAGUGUGGGCCAUUGUUAUCACAAGCAAAAUAUGAUCUCAAAGUAUCAAUUUAUAAUACGGUUUUGGUGCAUUUUCAGAGAUUUUGCGAGUCGAGUUCGAGUUCAAGUUUUUGCUAAACGAGUCGAGUUUGAUCGAUAUGGUAAACGAUCAUUUUUUGUUGAUCGAAUUCGAGUUCGUUAAGAACCGAGUCGAGCUCGAGCUCGAGCUGGUCGCGAACAAUUCGAGUCGAAUCGAGUUCGAGUCGAGCCGUUCGCGAAAAUUUGAUUUUUUUUUCGAAAAAAUUAAUUAAUAUUAAAAAAGUUUUUAAAAUAUUUCCUGAAGAUUCAACCACACAGAUGUUGGGAUAUUUUUAUUUUAAUGAUUUUACAAAAAUAUCACAAAACAAAAAAUAUAUUUGAUGUGAAAUUUUAAUAAUCAACUAGUGAAAUAACUAGUACUUUAUAUAUGUCUGGUCCUGAAUUGAUGUUAUAUUUUUUCUCAAAAAAAUUAUUGACAAUUUAACCGUAAGGAUGUUAAGAUCUAGUUAUUUUAAUGAUAUUAGGAAAAUAUCAAAAAUGAAAAAAAAAUUAUAUUUCAUUAUCCAUAUCUUUUUACACAUUAAAAAUUAAAAAAUCAUAAAUAUUUUGUUUAACGAGUCGAGUCGAGUCGAGUUCGACUUUAACGAGCCGAGUCGAGCUCGAGUCGAACACUAGUACUCGACUCGACUCGAGUUUCUUAACGAUCAAAUUUUUUUGUUCGAAUUCGAACUCAAUAGCGAACCGAGUCGAACCGAGUCGAGCUUUAAACGAGUCGAGCCGAGCUUGUUCGCGAACAGCUCGGUUCGUUUACAGCCCUAUUCAAACUCAUCAAAUUGUGUAUUUAUUAUGUGUCCGUUUUCUUUUCUUUUUUGAAAAUGAGAAUAAAUCUCACAAAUAAGAAUCGGCAAUUCACCAAGAUAAUUCCUUCAUUCAAGAAAGCUUAUUAUCUAACCGUCGGACAUGCAAGAUGACCGGGAAAAUUUAGACAAUAAAACUUUAAUGUCCUAAAAUAAAAACUAGUCUUCUUCCAAGAAUCCUGAAAAUAAAUCAAAGGAAACAAGAAAAAUAUAAGACAAUAUAUAUCAGAUUACAUAAAUUAUAAAAAUAAAAAAUAUAUCCAAUAAUUAAUUAUUAAUAAAAUCACGUGUAUAUGCAUGUGCUGAUCAAAAUAUUUACACAAUUAUGAUAACUCAUAACUGAGACAAUUAAACUCUUAAUUAAGGCACAAUUAAUAAAAUAUUAACGCUCUUAAUUAAGACACAUUAAAGCCCUUUAAAUAAGGCACAAUAAACAUCUUCAAUUAUGAGGUACGGUUUACGUCCUCAAUUAUGAGGCCCAAAUAACGCCCUUAAUUAUGAGGCACAAUUAACGCUUUUCUUUCUGAAGGCGGAUCCCUAGAAUUGCCGUCGCCGCAACCCUCAGUCACCGCCACCACUGCUACGCUAUUUCUCUCGCACACGUCCGCAAAACCAUAAACUCAGAUUAUCAACCGAUUACUCAGCAAGGCACAAAUCAAACAAAAAGUUUAAUUAAAAUCAAACAAAUCAUUAUAAUCAACGACAAUUAAUCAUAAUUUAAUCAAACAAAAAGAAAUUCAUUCAACUGGAAAAUAAAUGAACGAAAAACGCAUACGUUUCAUCUUUGACGACGAGAUUGAGGAGCGUGAGAAGCGCGGACUGAGUGGAUUCGACCGAGUCAAAACGGAGCAAAUCGACGAGCAGUAUCAUUUGAAAAGAAGAAUGAAGAUAUAUAUAUGUGGACGUGGAAUUUGAAUUUCUAACCUCAAAACUGGAAUCUGAUAAAUUGGAUGUGUUGACAAGUGAUUAACAAAGGGUGGUUGUUGAGAGUGAGAUCGUAGAUGAUGAUCCGAUGUUUAUAUUUAAAAGUACAGAUAUACCUGAUUUUUUAACUAGGAACCCACAAAAGAUUCAAUUGUUUGCACAUAUAUGGAUGAAUAUGUUAGCGAGAAAGCUUGGCGUUGGCUGUGGAAUUGUACACGAGAGAGACGGAGAGAAAUUAUUUAUUAUGUGUCCUUGGAGCACAUUAGAUAGACCUUUUAUAAUAUUACGUGGUUAUAAUUUUUUUAAAAAAAUUAUAAACAAUUUUAACCUCCUUUUUUUUUGACAAUGAGGCCUUACUUUGUCUUACAAAUUAGUAGUCAGAGUCGAACUCGGGUGUCCCGGGAUAAUAAGGGAUAAACCAUCAUUGGGCUAUCCAGUCGUGCUCGAUUUUAACCCUUUUUAAAGCCCAUAGAAAAACAAAAAAUGGCUCAGAUCAACAAGUAAUGCCCUGAAUAACAGAUCGAGAAAAAUAACCCAAAUACCGGUUAUUAAUAUCAAUCUAGCGUUUUUAAUUUGGGAGAAAACGCUAGUUAGUGUAACGUUUUACGGUUUUAACCCAAAAAAUAACGCUACAUAAACUAACAUCUUGUUUUUUUUAACCCUAACAGAACGCUAAACGAAUGAAAAUUCAAACGCUACACGAUGCAGUAUUAAUAAAUGAUAUUUAAAGUUAUUUUUUUUAUCAUAAUACGAAUAAUGAAUAUAGUGAUAACACCCCGCAAAAGCCUAGAAUCCUCAUGCUUAUGAGGUAACUUUUAAAGCCUAGACAUGUAUAUCUAAAACGUUAUACGUGUAAUGAUUUAUUCUUACAUUAAAAUAUGACAUUCAGAGUAUUUCAACUCUAAUUUGUGAUAUCUGAAGCCUUUUAUCGUAUCCGAGAAUUUUUACAAUAUACUGUCAAGUCAAUUAUUAAUGAAUAUUUUGACUAGUUUCGGAUACACUCCAAAGAAUUUUAAUACAAUUUAUAAAUUUUAAUACCCUAUAUAUAAUUUAUAGAUUUUAAUGAAUUGUAUCUGAAUUGAAUUUUAUAUGAAUUUUAGAUAUAAUGUCGCAAGAUCUCAUAGAUUAUGGUGGAAUUUCCAAAAGCACAAAAUACACGCAAAAAUUUAUCAUUUUAUUAAGUCCCAAAAAUUAAUCAACAUUUGAAUAACAUCAAAUUAUAAUAUAUUUGAAUAAUCUUAAUUGAACACCAUAUUUUUAGAUAUAAUUAAAAUCAUGUUUAAAUACCACCAGAUUUUAUAUCAUAACUUUAAAUCUUAAUCGACCUCAAAAUAUGGAUACAGUUUUUAAAAUUAUACACCUAUUUUUUAUGAAUUAAAAAAAUCAAAAUUUCAAUUGAAUCCACCCUUUGGGCUUGAGAAAUAUUCGGACGGCAUUAUUGUCAAAAUGACUAUCUAUUCUUCAUUGAUAAACUGAGAUGAAUAUAAUUCGAACAACCUACCAUACUACGGUCAAUACCAUACUACAAUGAGCCUGUGCAUAAGAUAUAUAGCUACAAACCAGAUAAAAUUAAGAAAUAACCCCAAUAACCUUUUAGGAAAAAAAACAUGCUAACGAACUCGUACUAUCUGUGACAUAUUUUGAUUUGUCAACCUUGUUACAAGAUCAGCAUUGUUAAAUUUAAAUUUUUUUUUUGAUAAUUUGAAAAGAAUAUAUACAAGCACAAAGGAUUUGUAAAUUUUCUGAACCUAUACAAUCCAGCAAUACACAAUAUAAUUUUCCCUGAUUUCAUUCUUUAAUGAAACAAUUCCGAUGCACUAUAUAUUUGCAUGGUGAACAUUGGAGAGCCGGCGUAUCGCGUGCAUCUUCCCCACAUAAAUUGCAAUUCCUUGUCUUUUUAUUGAGAAUAUAUGUGAGGCCGUGUGGAUGAGGAUGUUUGUCGCUGUAAAUGUUGGUGGCACCAAACUUGAUAUUGGACAGCCAAUCAUCUGGAUCAAUACAGCUAAUAUGAAAUGAUAGAUCGCAUACAUUGCAGUGAUAAAACCAACUGUUGGUGUUUAUCUCUUUGGAGCAAAAUUCACAAGGGAAUUCGUGGGGAUGAUCGGGUACAUUCUUGAGAGACAGGAUCAAGUAGAGAGGAUGAGGAUCCCACCUAUGUUUCACCACUUGUGCACUUAACACACACCCUAUAUGUGUGUAAAAUUCACAUUUUUCACAUCCGUACACGAUGGUUCUUACCUCUUCAGUUACAGGCUCACGCCAACAACCUUUGCAAAGAAAGUCAUCUGGAGUCUUUAAUUGCUGAAGAGGGUGACGAUGACCUUUAUGUUUGAUUAUUCUGGGUAAUGAAGCGCACUUGAUGUCAAAAGUGUAUUCAUCAUUGAGCAUGCAAAUCCCAUUACCAUAAAUGCCGCAACCACUGCAUUGAAAAGUAUAUAGUUCACCUGACUCUCGUGCUAGCACUGCCUCCAGAUCGCCUGCUAGAUGAUGCUUAAUCCUUUUGGGGAAUUGGGAGCAUGAUCUGUGGAGAAAAAAAUUGCAUAAACUGCAUUCAUAGAAUACAUCAACCAAGGAGAUAGGAUUCAUGCAACCAUCACAGAUUAGCAAUUCAGUUUCUGCUAUUUUCGGCUUCAAGUUGAGGGGCAAAGUUUUUGCAUUCUUGUUUCCGAGUGCCAGUUGGUGUCCAUGGGCCCAAUGAUUGAUAUAAGGUGAAGGUUCCCCAGUGGAAGGAUUUACGGCCUUGAUGAUACAUUGUUGCAUUGUUUCAUGUAGUGAUGCUUCAUCAUGCACUGGGAACUGCAUCAAACUGGACUCUCCGCAAUCUGCUUCAUCAUCAAUAUCACUUUCACU
rnacentral:lncRNA from 1 species